CCUACGGGAUGCAGCAGUAGGGAAUCUUCGGCAAUGGACGAAAGUCUGACCGAGCGACGCCGCGUGAGUGAAGAAGGUUUUCGGAUCGUAAUACUCUGAUGUUAGAGAAGAACAAGUAGGAGAGUAACUGCUCUUACCUUGACGGUAUCUAACCAGAAAGCCACAGCUAACUACGUGCCAGCAGCCGCGGUAAUACGUAGGUGGCAAGCGUUGUCCGGAUUUAUUGGGCGUAAAGCGAGCGCAGGCGGUCUUUUAAGUCUGAUGUGAAAGCCCUCGGCUCAACCGAGGAAGGUCAUUGGAAACUGGAGGACUUGAGUGCAGAAGAGGAGAGUGGAAUUCCAUGUGUAGCGGUGAAAUGCGUAGAUAUAUGGAGGAACACCAGUGGCGAAGGCGACUCUCUGGUCUGUAACUGACGCUGAGGCUCGAAAGCGUGGGGAGCAGACAGGAUUAGAUACCCGUGUAGUC
rnacentral:rRNA from 1 species